UGGGGAAUUUUGCACAAUGGGCGCAAGCCUGAUGCAGCGACGCCGCGUGAGGGAUGAAGGCCUUCGGGUUGUAAACCUUUUUCGCUCAUGGUCAAGCCGCAGCUUUGGGUUGUGGUGAGGGUAGUGGGUAAAGAAGCGCCGGCUAACUACGUGCCAGCAGCCGCGGUAAUACGUAGGGCGCGAGCGUUGUCCGGAAUUAUUGGGCGUAAAGGGCUUGUAGGCGGUUGGCCGCGUCUGCCGUGAAAUCCUCUGGCUUAACUGGGGGCGUGCGGUGGGUACGGGUUGGCUUGAGUGCGGUAGGGGGGACUGGAAUUCCUGGUGUAGCGGUGGAAUGCGCAGAUAUCAGGAGGAACACCGGUGGCGAAGGCGGGUCUCUGGGCCGUUACUGACGCUGAGGAGCGAAAGCGUGGGGAGCGAACAGG
rnacentral:rRNA from 1 species